rnacentral:rRNA from 1 species
GACGAACGCUGGCGGCGUGCUUAACACAUGCAAGUCGAACGGAAAGGCCUGCUUUCCCUUGUGGAUUGCGGGUACUCGAGUGGAGAACGGGUGAGUAACACGUGAGUGAUCUGCCCCCAACUUGGGUAUAAGCCUGGGAAACUGGGUCUAAUUCCCGAUAGGACUGCAGGGUGGUGCCUGUGGUGGAAAACGAUUUUCUAGUGGUUGGGGAUGAGCUCGCGGCCUAUCAGCUUGUUGGUGGGGUAAUGGCCUACCAAGGCGGCGACGGGUAGCCGGCCUGAGAGGGUGGACGGCCACAUUGGGACUGAGAUACGGCCCAGACUCCUACGGGAGGCAGCAGUGGGGAAUAUUGCACAAUGGGCGGAAGCCUGAUGCAGCGACGCCGCGUGGGGGAUGACGGCCUUCGGGUUGUAAACUCCUUUCGACCGCGAGGAAGCCACCUGGUUGGAAGGGUGGUGACGGUAGUGGUAGAAGAAGCACCGGCUAACUACGU